rnacentral:lncRNA from 1 species
AUGAGGAAAACCAAUGAUACUCAUCAACAUAUUUCUGUUAUCAAGGCUAUAAAUUUUAAGAAAAAUAAAACAUUUUAUUAUAAGGUGCAUAAAAUCCUUCACUGUCAUAGACAUACCUCAGGUAAAGGUUUGGCCGGUUUGCAGUGCAAUCCACCAACAAACUCAAAAUUAGGCAAGUAUGGACGAGGAAAUUCAAAAUCCCAGUAUGUCCGAAUUAGCCAAAUUUCAGCUUUCCCCAUAGUCUCACAUAAUGUGGUGGGUCUUCCUAACUUUACUGUACAACUGAUCCCAGACCUGAAAAUCAUAUUGAUGCAGCCAGAAGUUAAAGAAAAUCGAAAGUAUUACAUUUUUCAAUCUUUCCAUAAAGGUCAUUCUGUCGGUCAGUGCCCCCAUGGAGACAGGCACAUAGGAAAGUGGAACUGGAAGUUGCCCACAGUAUUUUUCCACAAUGUCGCCCAUGGAGAACCUUAGUGUGUUCACAAAGGAAUUACAGGGUCUAUAACCAUUACAUCAUACUUGGUUUCCUGGAGCUUCUUCAUGAGUGUCUGAUUGUAGACAACAUUCUCACAGAAAAGUUUCAUGUUUUCCGUCAUAUUAGCAAGGAACUCUUGCAGUUUUAUUGCUGAUUGCCAGAGCGGCAGUGUUGGCAAGACAUUCGCAGCUAGUUCUAAAAAGUCAUAUAGUUCAUUCAGAGCACUAUCUUGGUUGUUCGGCACAGAGACCACCUCAAAGUUCAGAGCAGAAGAUUCACUGUAAUCAACCAGGAAAGUGUGUGAGGAAAUCAACACCGUCACAUAAUGACCUCUCUCGGUGAGUUUCUCCAGGAUAGUCUUCAGGUUGAGCCAAUGGCUCAUGUCGCAGGGCCACACCAGGAUAUUCCCACAGAGCCCACAGCCAGCACAGCAAAGCUGCAGCAGCAGAACUGUUGAGACCCACUUCUCACACCUCAUGGCAGCAGCUCCCGCACUGCUCUGCAAAGUGUAAGCGUUUGCUGGACUCAGAUUGGAAACGGCAAUUAGAGGUGGAACAAAUUAAAUAUUAACUUUUAGACAGGAAAGAAGGUUGUCAAUGUUUACCAGGCUGAUGAUGUUUGUUAUGAAGAAGGCAAGACUCAUUUAAAUAUCUAAGUACAAAACAGCCAAAGGAAUUUGGAAUAUAUGCUAAGGCCAGCAAAAAAAGCCAAGAAAGAAGAAAAAAAAACAAUAAUGGUACAGUCUUAGAAGAUGAAAUUUUAUACAGUAUAAAUAAAGUGGAAGCAAUAAAAAGGAAAAAAAAUCUA